rnacentral:rRNA from 1 species
UACGUAGGGGCCUAGCGUUGUCCGGAAUUACUGGGCGUAAAGGGCGCGUAGGCGGCCACUGCAAGUCGGUUGUGAAAUCUCCGGGCUUAACCCGGAAAGGUCAAUCGAUACUGCAGGGCUAGAGUGCAGAAGGGGCAACUGGAAUUCUCGGUGUAGCGGUGAAAUGCGUAGAUAUCGAGAGGAACACCUGCGGCGAAGGCGGGUUGCUGGGCUGACACUGACGCUGAAGCGCGAAAGCUAGGGGGGCGAACAGG